GGCUCGGUGGUCUAGGGGUAUGAUUCGCGCUUCGGGUGCGCGAGGUCCCGGUUCAAGUCCCGGCCGAGCCC